CCUGCAUGUGUGUCUGCCUUUACCCUGGUCAAAGCUUACAGCUCCUCCCUUCCCGUAGAUGUCAGCUUCUGUCCCCUUAAGUCCGCCCUCCCAAAAGGCCCAGUCUGCUCUGAUUGAUAAAAGGAAGUGGAGCGAAACACAGCAGCUCUUCUUGGUUUAAGGGUGAGGAGGACAUUUGUUCAUACUCUGGACACUUGAGAAGGGCAGGAUAGUUGGAGGAGUUCAUCUGGAGGGAGGCCUCAGAGGA